ACUAGGGGGCAGUUGGGCAGGCAUGCUUCAUUCCUGGAAUUGACAGUCAUUCCUAAUUUUGAAUAUACUAACACUGAAUCAGCACUUCUAAAGCCCUUGCUUCUCCCACUGGCUUCACUUGGCUUUCAGACAUAAUGAGGAGACUGGCUUUUCGAGGCGCUGGUUGUGCUCUGGUAAAGCUGAGAAGUUGGAUUCCAUGGGUUCCAAGAGAAGAAGAGCUACCUCCCCUUCCAGCAGUGUCAGC
rnacentral:lncRNA from 1 species